ACAGACCAUGUUAAGCACUCCUGAAAUAAAGGAUAAAACUGAUUGGCCCCUGUUCUAAUGUCUUUGGUUGGGGCGACCGCGGGGAAACAAAAAACCCCCAUGUGGACCGGGAGCACACUACUCCUACAACCCAGAGUUACAACUCCAAGCAACAGAAUUUCUGACCAAUAAGAUCCGGCAUCUAGCCGAUCAACGGACCGAGUUACCCUAGGGAUAACAGCGCAAUCCUCUUUUAGAGCCCAUAUCGACAAGAGGGCUUACGACCUCGAUGUUGGAUCAGGACAUCCUAAUGGUGCAGCCGCUAUUAAGGGUUCGUUUGUUCAACGAUUAAAGUCCUACGUGAUCUGAGUUCAGAC
rnacentral:rRNA from 1 species